AGAGAGAGAGAGAGGGGGCAGCAGAGAGAGGGAGAGGGGGCAGCAGAGAGAGAGAGAGAGAGGGCAGCAUAAAGAGAGAGGGGGCAGCAGAGACAGAGAGAGGGCAGCAGAGAGAGAGAGAGAGGGCAGCAGAGAGAGAGAGGUCAGCAGAGAGAGAGAGGUCAGCAGAGAGAGAGAGGUCAGCAGAGAGAGAGAGAGAGAGGGCAGCAGAGAGAGAGAGAGGGAGGGCAGCAGAGAGUGAGAGAGGGAGGGCAGCAGAGAGACAGAGAGGGAGGGCAGCAGAGAGAGAGAGGAGGGCAGCAGAGAGAGAAUGGGGCAGCAGAGAGAGAGGGGGCAGUAGAGGGAGAAGUGGGGGUUGCAGUAGAGAAAGGGAGAGGGCAUUAUAGAGAGGGAGAGAGGGGGCAGCAGAGAGAGAGGGGGCAGUAGAGAUAGGGAGAGGGCAGCAUAGAGAGGGAGAGAGAGGGGCAGCAUAGAGAGAGGGGGCAGCAUAGAGAGGGAGAGAGGGCAGCAGAGAGAGAGAGGACAGCAGAGAGAGAGAAGGGCAGCAGAGAGAGAGAGGGGGUAGCAGAGAGAGAGAGGGGGCAGUAGAGAGAGAGAGGGGGCAGCAGAGAGAGAGAGGGGGCAGUAGAGAAUGGGAGAGAGCAGUAUAGAGAGGGAGAGAGAGCAGCAUAGAGAGGGAGAGGGCAGCAGAGAGAGGGAGAGAGAGGGCAGCAGAGAAAGAGGGGGAGCAGAGAGAGAGGGGGCCGCAUAGAGAGAGGGGGCAGCAGAGAGAGAGAGAGAGGGGGGGCAGCAUAGAGGGAGAGAGGGGCAGUAGAGAAAGGAGAGAGAGAGGGGGCAGUAGAAGGAGAGAGGGG
ensembl:lncRNA